GCGUGCAUAGGAUUUGUAAAGAGAAAAAUUACAGAUGGGCAUCUAAACCUUUUGUAAGUUGCAAUCAUAUUUUGUUAGUAUCUCCCAUUUCCCAGAUUACUGGCUUUGUCCUGGGUUUUGUUGUCUUCAUUUCGUCACUAAAAAAUACUACCUAAUGAAACUGUUUAUUAAUCCUGAAAAUGUGUUAUUGCUGAGAAUAAAUAAGGAGAAAUGUUUCAUACCGGAUGGAAAAUUAUGAGUGACAGAAAUUUAGCUUGAGGGAGAGUACAGGACAGAACUGUAGUCUCCUAAGUGAGGACCAUAAUUAUAGGCUCUUGGGUAAAAUCAGUACAUUUUUCUCUUGGACUCUUAUGACUCCUGCUGUUUUCCAAUAGGCUUUUAUGGCAAGUACAAGAAAGCACAUGCCCCAUUUUUGGUUGAAAUGUGUGUUUCCUUCAGAUGGCAAUGAACACAACCAAGAACUCCAGAUUGCAGAGACUGAAGAAUGUGAUACUUACCCAAACCUUUGGAUUAUGUUCAUGCAGAAGAUUUGACCUUAAUGCUCUGUCUACAUGUAUAAUAAAAUCAGAUGGGUUUGAAUGA